rnacentral:tRNA from 1 species
CCAAAAAAUAGUUUAACAAAAACAAAAGCUUUGGAAGCUUUAAUUUUACAUAAGUAAUUUUUUGAG